ACAGAGGAGAGGCAGAACACAGCUAGUAGCAGUUCAUACUCUUUGUGCUGCUCAAUCGAUAUGUCUCAACCCUGACCUGGGAAAACUCUCCCUAGG